GGAAAAUUUCAAACCUAUGCUUCCCAAUUUAAAGAUAGAUGUUCCUCUAGUUGAUGUUAACUUGAAUUGGCUUCAUACAACUUCCACCUAAUCCUUGCUUCAUGUAGUUCAGGUUGUUUUUAAAGAGUCAAUGAUCACACCAAAAAGAAAAAGGAACAAAAUACAGUUUUCACAUGGAUUAUGGUAAAAGGAACCGCUCCUAUUAAUCUGUGAAGGGAAUUUUCUGUUAAGGAACUCAUGAAACACAACCUUUGUGAAUAUCCAAAUUCUACUAAGAGACUCAAUUUAUGAUCAGCUAUGAUAUCCUUCCUUUUAUUAUAUAUCCAUCCAAUGGCUUGAAGAAAGACAGCUUUAGGGGUAUGACACAAUUGAGAAAGAAUAUCUUGGAACACAGACAAAGAAUGUUAUAGAAGGACCUAUGCCUUUUGUUUUACUUUUCUUGAAGACCAGAGGAUCCCUGUCAUGUUAAGUGCAGCAGAGAAAAUUUAUGAACAGGUAAUCCUGAUCAUGGCUGAUGUUGUUGUUACAUGGUAUGGUGGGAGGCCCUUGAAUAAUUUGAUGUGCUGUAAGAUAACCUUGUAAAGCCACUUAUAAUUAUAGACAGGAAGGGAUCUCGAUCAUGCCUGUGCAACAGAGAAAAUUUAUGUAGGUCCACAUGAACAUGGCUGAUUCUGUUGUUAGUCCUAAGUAACUUGAUGUGCUGUGUAUGAUGAUCAUGUAAAUCCACUUAUAACAAUGCACAGGAAAGAGAGCUCUGCUAAUCUGGUUUGAUUUUUUUGCAUGGAAUGCUCAUGAAGAAGAAAGCUUCUACCUUUGUUUGGAAAUGAAGAAGCAAACAAGAAAGGGAGAAAAUGACAGAUGGGAAGCAAAUAGGAGGUUCAAUUUCAUAGGGCCACUUAAAAGUAUUCCCCUUUAAAAAUGGCUGGAAGAAAAACCUUUUUGGCUGUUUUUAAACUUUUUGUGAAAGUUAAAAUAACUUUUUUAUAACAAUUUUAAAAAUAAUCAGUACUUUUCUUGAGAAAAACAAAUAUAGUAAAAAUAAUUUUUAUUUAACUAAUUUUCUGUCUUUUUUUUUCUUCUAAUCAUUCAAACCACUGAUGGAAAAUUCUCACUUCUUUCUCUUCAUCCAAAUCAUAUAUUUUUUAUUUAUAUUUUAUUUCUCAAAAUUCUUGAACCUAGAAGUUUAAUGAUAAAAAUAAUGACAUUUUCGCAG
rnacentral:lncRNA from 1 species